rnacentral:miRNA from 1 species
AGAGCAAGGCUGAGGCUGUUCU